GCGCUAGUAGCUCAAUUGGAUAGAGUGCUUGACUACGGAUCAAGAGGUUACGGGUUCGACUCCUGUCUAGCGCG
rnacentral:tRNA from 1 species